UGGGGAAUCUUGCGCAAUGGGCGAAAGCCUGACGCAGCAACGCCGCGUGCGGGAAGAAGGCCCUCGGGUUGUAAACCGCUUUCAGAAGGAACGAAAAUGACGGUACUUUCAGAAGAAGGUGCGGCCAACUACGUGCCAGCAGCCGCGGUGACACGUAGGCACCAAGCGUUGUCCGGAUUUAUUGGGCGUAAAGAGCUCGUAGGCGGUUCGGUAAGUCGGGUGUGAAAACUUUGGGCUCAACCCAAAGCGUGCACUCGAUACUGCCAUGACUAGAGUUCGGUAGGGGAGUGGGGAAUUCCUAGUGUAGCGGUGAAAUGCGCAGAUAUUAGGAGGAACACCGGUGGCGAAGGCGCCACUCUGGGCCGAAACUGACGCUGAGGAGCGAAAGCGUGGGUAGCAAACAG
rnacentral:rRNA from 1 species